UCCACGGCUGGAUCAGGGGGCAGACUGCCACAAGGCCCUUUCACGGGCAGGAAGAGCAGCUGAGGCAUAAGUUGGCAGGAUCUUGCUCUUACAACCUGAACCAUCAUCUCUUUGGCUCUGGAGCUGCCACAAGACCUAUGCAGGAGCAGGAGGCCUGGAAUCUCCUUCCCAUAUAAAUUAGCUGGCUGCAUUGUGUCGAAGUGAAGGCCUAUUUAUUUUGCUAGACUGAAGCCAACCCUGAACUUGAUGAGAGUCCUGUGCAGAGAUGAAGAGGAAGAGGCAGUGCUAUCUGAGAAUCAGGAUGGGGGCAUGUGAUCCUUUCAGGAAUGAGCAGGCUUGACAGACACCUCAAGACCCUGGGGUACCAGGCAUUGGACCAACAGUUGGCCAAUCAAGAAGUUAAGGCCAUCUCAGACAAGAUUUGAACAUCUGGAUAGAGGAAGAGCCACCAAGCUAAGUGGAACAAGCAUUGCCAUCAAAGAAUUCUCUCAGGAAGGAGUUAUUAUGCUUUUGUGACAAGGAUUUAGACUUUCUGAGCUACCAAAUUCAUUAGCAAGCCUCAGUGUUCUUAGCAAUAACAUAAUCAUAAUUACUCCUUAGCAUUGGGAAGAUUAAGUGUAAUGACGUGUAAAUUACGUGACAAACAUGCUGGCCCAUAUAGAUGCCCAAAGAAUAUCUUGAACUUGAAGGAUUCAUGGUCUUAAAAGAAACACAAUUUUCUUCUAGCGUUUUAACAAUGUCUUUAGUUUUCUAGGCCUAUUUGAGAAACCAUUCUUUUCAAAGAAUACCUUGGUCUUUCACUUAUUUUUAUAAAGUGUCAUAUAGCAUCAUGGGCUAUGUUUCAAUUUGAAACUAGAAGAUUGAAAGAGCUGAUAAAAGAGAAUGACCUGGUAAUAAGUAUAAAAACUAAAGACACAAUGGAGGUUUUCAAAAUAAGGCAUUUUUCUCUAACAGAGAAUAUCUCCUGUGUUACUCUUUAGGUCACAUAGAGCAGGAUUGACAUGAGGUGAACAUAGAGUGACUAUGGGCCAUAGUCCUCUAUGGCUCCAGGGGAAAAUCUUGCUUUUUCAGGAGGGAUACUACUCUCAGAGAUUCCUGUAGAAGUUUGGGGUUAGCUCCUCCAGGGAUACCUGCAUGAACUGUUGCUUCACACAGUGAGGAGGAGUUAACUCAUCCAAUGGUAUAACUUUAAGACAAGUCAGUGAACAUCAAUGAGCCUCAGUUUCUUCAUUAAGAACAUGGGAGAUGAUCAUAUUUCUUUAUAGGGUCAUUCAAUUAUAGAUCUUACAUGAGAAGAGUCCAGCUCAGUAUAGUGCUUGGAGCACAGGGUUGGCAAUAAGUGGAUGUAUUAUUAUUGCCAUAGUCUGGCAUUUGGAAACUACUGGGCAUUGACCCAGGGAAAGAACCUUUAGUUGUAACUCUCCCCAACACAAAUGUUCUUUAAGAAAAUACUAGUAUAAAUGGCUUUACUUCCAGAUGGUUUAUCUCCAACUGAGUCCUUCAGGUUGAAUAUACUGAAAAUUGGAGUCACUCUUAACAAGGACAAUUAGAAGAAAAGGAAACUGUGGGCCGAAGAGAGAAAGGACAUAAAGUGGAAGAGAUACUAGGAGAAUAAAGAUAUUUGCAGUGCUGCUUCAAGACAAAACCAAACUUGGCUUUGGGAUACAUCCUUGUGCUCUUUGCAAGGUGGGAGCUGAGACUUGAGGAAGGGAAAGGUCAGGGUGAGGUCGAUGUCUGCCUGUGUACUGUGUGGAGUCACUGGGAACGGGGCUCCAGCAUGCAGGGGAGGGUGGCUGAUAAAGCUUCACUUUUUCCAUUACAGGAGUCCAAGUUCUGCUUCAUCUCUAGGUUCCUGGUGGGACUGGGAAAAGGGAGGAGCCCAGGAGGAGGGAGCCAAUAACUCUGAGUCAUCUCAGACAAGAUUUGAACAUCUGGAUAGAGGAAGAGCCACAGGAGGGCAAAUCCUCUUGGUAUCCAUAUUAAAAGACACUAAUUAAAACACAUUUAUAUGCAUCUCACUGUAACUGAGAGGCAGUGGAGAGCCUGAAGACAUUCUAACAUGGCAGGAGGCUGGAGUAAUGGAAUUCAACUGUAGAGCUGCCAAUAGUCAUAAUUAAACAUCUGCAAAUUGUCUUUUGAUAGUCUCUUUAGUGAAUUGUCUUCAUUAUUUUAGCAAACCUGAAAAUUCUCUAAAAGGCUUUCAUUUAUUCUCCUUGUCCUCCCUAUUCUAUUUCCCCCAUAAUAUUUUAAGCUUAUCCUUUAUAAAUUCUUGUAC